GUAUGAUGUAACGCCUUCAGAUUAUGUCUCAAUGGUUAUCACGGAUUAUGGCAUGGUCCCAACCACAAGUGUCCCUGCAAUUGUUCGAGAAUACCGAAGAGAAUGCUUAUGGAUAGAGGGGCCCAGCAUUGCCAAUUCCAUAAGAGAAUAAUGAAAACUUUUUUUUUUUUUUUCUUCUUCUUUUCUGUGCUGGAAUUCAUCUUGCAGGCCUGUGGUCAUGAUGAGGCUGGGAUAAUCGGACACCACAGAUUUAUAACACAGGCCCGUAUUUUUUCUCCUUUAAAGUCAUGAUGCAUCGCCCUUAAAUUCGUCUAGUGAUUUUUUUGGCCCACUAUUGGAGCUAUUAAGAAUAGUGUAGCAGAAAUAUGGGCCUUAUGAGAAUGAUUACAGUUGGUUCAUUUUUCUACAAUCAAUGGCAGACCUCUAUCGAAUAUUGCAUGGAAGACGACAUAUACAAAUGGAGAAACUUUAUCUUGGUUCACAC